rnacentral:rRNA from 1 species
UGGGGAAUAUUGCACAAUGGGCGCAAGCCUGAUGCAGCCACGCCGCGUGUGUGAAGAAGGCCUUCGGGUUGUAAAGCACUUUCAGCGAGGAGGAAGGUGGUGGACUUAAUACGUUCAUCAAUUGACGUUACUCGCAGAAGAAGCACCGGCUAACUCCGUGCCAGCAGCCGCGGUAAUACGGAGGGUGCAAGCGUUAAUCGGAAUUACUGGGCGUAAAGCGCACGCAGGCGGUUUGUUAAGUCAGAUGUGAAAUCCCCGGGCUCAACCUGGGAACUGCAUUUGAAACUGGCAAGCUAGAGUCUCGUAGAGGGGGGUAGAAUUCCAGGUGUAGCGGUGAAAUGCGUAGAGAUCUGGAGGAAUACCGGUGGCGAAGGCGGCCCCCUGGACGAAGACUGACGCUCAGGUGCGAAAGGCGUGGGGCAGCAAACAGGAUUAGAUACCCUGGUAGUCCACGCUGUAAACGAUGUCGAUUUUGGAGGUUGUGCCCCUUGAGGCGUGGCUUCCGGAGCUAACGCGUUAAAGUCGACCGCCU